rnacentral:rRNA from 1 species
CACAAGCGGUGGAGGCAUGUGGUUUAAUUCGACGCAACGCGAAGAACUUACCAGGGCUUGACAUCCCCUGACCGCGUAUGAAGUACGUUUUCACCUCGGGUGACAGGGAGACAGGUGGUGCAUGGUUGUCGUCAGCUCGUGUCGUGAGAUGUUGGGUUAAGUCCCGCAACGAGCGCAACCCCUAUUGUUAGUUGCCAUCAUUCAGUUGGGCACUCUAGCGAGACUGCCGGUAAUAAACCGGAGGAAGGUGGGGAUGACGUCAAAUCAUCAUGCCCCUUAUGACCUGGGCUACACACGUGCUACAAUGGUUGAUACAACGAGUUGCGAGUCGGUGACGGCGAGCUAAUCUCUUAAAGCCAAUCUCAGUUCGGAUUGUAGGCUGCAACUCGCCUACAUGAAGUCGGAAUCGCUAGUAAUCGCGGAUCAGCACGCCGCGGUGAAUACGUUCCCGGGCCUU